UUAAAAUUUGACGUAUAAAAGUUUAAUUUUGUAUAUAUAUUAUAAGUUGCCGAUGAUAGAGGAGUAUGCCCUUCUCUACAACCUGAUAUAACAUAUGUUUAGAUGUAUCUCAGAUACCAACUUGUGAGCUUCUAAAUUUGGCUCUUCUACUAUAUCUAUAUCUCUAUCAUAGAGUAGCAAAAGUGAUUACAUGAUCAACUUUAGAAUAAAACCCCUAAGUGUUGAAAACCCAUUAAGGAGAAGCCCUACCCUUUGCAAUCGUAAUUAGGAGAAGCCCAAGGUUGAGAACCGAACGGAUGAGAUCAGGAAACCCUCGUCUUAGACGAGAACCAUCGAAAGCUGAACUGAGAAGAGGAUCACGGGAAAAAGAGAGAACCAGUACUGCAUCAGAUCACUGGCAAGGCUGUUGUUAUCUAUAGCCUCAUGGCGGAGAUUCUAUUUUUAAUAAUGGUGGAAGUUUUUGCAACAAUCUGAUCAGGGGAGCGAUGGGUACCGCGAUGAAGCCUUUCAUUCCUCUCCCACCACAGAUUGUAGAUCACUGCUUGCCAAGUAAGGAUGGAGAGGGAGAGCCAGUUUGCGACAAGGAGAGUGUGAGCGAUGUCAUCCCAGGAUGGUGAGGCUCAAGUUAAGGCGAGUCGAGAGGAGAAGUGAUACCAGACACGAAUAGAGAAGGAGCAGUUGAAGUAGAUAUGGUCUCUGCUUAGGAGACAAGAAGGAUCCGUUUUGAGAUUCCAAGCUAGGAGACGGUCUCUCGUUGGGCACCGGUUCAACUGCAUCAGCCACGCCUGAGAUUUGUGUUUGGGUAUGCCUUUCUUAAUCCAGAUUAGAGGGUACCAGGGGACAGAAGGAAGAGGCUCCAGGAGAGAAUGAUAAACGAGAGAGCUUGAGAAUGUUUGUUGUGGUCUGCCGUUGAUCAUCCACUGGGGAAAGCUUGGUGAGUCAUAUAAGAAAUGGGGAUUCCUGUUUGCCUUGGUCCCAAAGGACCUAUGAAGUUGAUGAGUUGGCCAUACUUCGUCCAAGGAUCAUACCAGAAGUUAACAUCAGCGCCAUUUCCUGGAUCGAUCAAGGUCCAUUGGAUCGCUAUUUGUCUGACAGCAAGGAUCUGCCUUGAACAACCAGCAGCCGGAGGAGUUUGAUAGUACAAGUUGUGUUCCAGAUGAGUGUCCAUUGAUUAGGGUUUGGUAAUAUAUGUUUAAGUAAUAUUGGUAUUUUAGAGUUAGAUUUUUAAAUUUUAAAUUUUAGAGUUAGGUUGAGAGCCACCGAAUGUACAAGUUUGGCAGGUUGAGCGCUUGGAGACAGGCUGUUAGGAAGUCCCAUCUUACCGAGUCGAAAACCUUGGCUAUAUCAAUUUUUAAGGUCAGCUUCUUCUGUCCUCUAUUAUUGUGAUACCCUGACACUAUCUCUGCCGCAAGUAAGCAGUUUUCCAUUAGCAAACGACCUCUGAUGAAGGCUGUCUGGUUAAGAAGGAUAAUAGAAGGGAGCAAGGGCUUUAGGCGGCCUACCAAGAGCUUAGAGAUGACCUUGUAGAGGGUAAUUCAGCAUAAAUCAAUUACAAUACAAAUGUUUCCACACACCACUAACAUAAUAUAUUCUAUGAUUACCAUGGACAGAGCAAGGACAAUACAUUUACAUGUUUGCAAAGUGUUUUCCUGAUUUGAGGCAAGCGCCAUGAAUUGCUUAAGAUUUUCUAAAGACUUUUCGAUAACAUAAUCUGUCCUUGUAAAUAUGACGAUUUUUGUAGAAAAAUCGCUGGUUAAGAAAUAUUUUUAUAACAGUUACAAUUCUGUCAAUAAUUAUAAAGUUGAAAAAGUAAUAAAAAUUUCAUCCGACA